UACGUAGGGUGCGAGCGUUAAUCGGAAUUACUGGGCGUAAAGCGUGCGCAGGCGGUUUCGUAAGCCAGAUGUGAAAGCCCCGGGCUCAACCUGGGAAUGGCAUUUGGGACUGCAAGGCUGGAGUUUGGCAGAGGAGACUGGAAUUCCUGGUGUAGCAGUGAAAUGCGUAGAUAUCAGGAGGAAUACCGAUGGCGAAGGCAGGUCUCUGGGCUAUAACUGACGCUCAUGCACGAAAGCGUGGGGAGCAAACAGG
rnacentral:rRNA from 1 species